CAAUAGCGUAUAUUAAAGUUGUUGCGGUUAAAAAGCUCGUAGUUGGAUUUCUGCUGAGAACGACCGGUCCGCCCUUUGGGUGUGUAUCUGGCUCUUUCUUGGCAUCUUCUUGGUGAACGUUGCUGCACUUGACUGUGUGGAGCGCUACCCAGGACUUUUACUUUGAGGAAAUUAGAGUGUUUCAAGCAGGCAUACGCCUUGAAUACAUUAGCAUGGAAUAAUAAGAUAGGACCUCGGUUCUAUUUUGUUGGUUUCUAGAGCUGAGGUAAUGAUUAAUAGGGAUAGUUGGGGGCAUUCGUAUUUAACUGUCAGAGGUGAAAUUCUUAGAUCGGUCAAAGGCGAACUACUGCGAACGCAUUCGCCAGGAAUGUUUNCUUUAA
rnacentral:rRNA from 1 species